rnacentral:tRNA from 1 species
AAGGGAGACCUAAUUCAGGUAGGAGACGAAAAAAAAGUAGUCCCAACCAAGAAUCAAUCCCAAAAGGUCGGAGCGAGGUAUGAGGCUUUCAAACUAGGUUCUGGGUUCAAACAAGACCUGAAUCAGGAACAAGGGCUAUUAGCUCAGGUGGUUAGAGCGCACCCCUGAUAAGGGUGAGGUCCCUGGUUCGAGUCCAGGAUGGCCCACCUGCACAGGUGGCAAAAACAAGAGAAGCGAGGGAUCAGCACCUUAUCUUAUCUAUAUAUAUAUAGGAGAGAAUGCUGGCUCUGAGUAAAGAGUCCAGAGGAACCUUGAAAACUGCAUAGAGCUAGGUGAAAAAGCCAAAAAAGAAGACCGCAA